CCGGGCGCCUCUAGCUUCCCGGACACCCGGGGCUUCCGCCUAUCCAGCCUCCCUCGGCCAAAUUGCUGCGGAGUCCGUCGUCAGGGGGCGCCAAGGAGCCAGGGGGAAAACCGUGAGGCGCUGACAGGAGCCUCCCGGCGGUGCUACCCCCCACCUCCCACCUCCCUGCGCCCCGCCCCGAGGUUGGGGCUUUGAAGGAUGCAGCCGGGGAAAGCAUUAACUCUUGAGCUACGUCCAGAAUAGCAUCAUCUUCAUGGGUAUUCCCCACUCCUAGGAUUUCAGAAAACCUUUGAUAACUAAUUGAGAAAAUGCAGAAGAUCUUGCAGACAGAUGAAAUUACCAAUACACAAGCUUUUAGAAAAGGAAAGAGGAAAAGGACAGAGACAAUGGACUCAGAAAAUGCAAAUAGUGACAUGGAUAAAGGACAGAGAGACCCAUAUUCGGGAAAUGCCUUUCUGCCUGGUGAAAGCUCCAGUGAGGAUGAAGAACCUUUAGCAGAAUUGUCAAAGGAAGAAUUGUGCGCCAAAAUAAAAAGCCUGAAAGAAAAACUAACAAACACCCGGAAAGAAAACAGCCGACUUCGACAGUCUUUGGUCAUGCUUCAAGUGUUACCACAAGCAGUCACCCAGUUUGAAGAAUUGGUUGGCAUGGCCGAGGCUCUGCUUAAGGGUGGGGGAACCAUGUCUACAUCUGCAUCCACCCUCUGGAGAGCAACAAACAACUCCUCGCCAGAUUCAUUUGCCUCAACAUGCAGUAAUUCUAAUUCUAACUCCAGUUCACCAGUUUCCUCAAAGCCUGAGGAAGAGCAUCAGACUGAUGAGAAACAGUUCCAGAUUGAAAAAUGGCAGAUUGCCCGUUGUAACAAGAGCAAGCCUCAGAAGUUUAUUAAUGAUUUAAUGCAAGUACUUUACACAAAUGAAUACAUGGCCACUCACAGCCUGACAGGGGCAAAAUCCUCUACUUCAAGGGACAAAGCUGUAAAACCAGCUAUGAAUCAGAAUGAAGUCCAAGAAAUCAUAGGAGUAACAAAACAAUUAUUUCCCAAUACGGAUGAUGUUUCAAUUAGAAGAAUGAUAGGGCAAAAGCUAAACAACUGUACCAAGAAGCCAAAUUUAAGCAAAAAUCUUAACUCUCAGGAUAUUAAAUAGAUCCUUUUGGUCACUGCCUCCUUUUUGGCACUAACUGGUGCGUUAAGCCCAAGUUUGCCUCAGUUCUAACCAACAAUUGGAGUGCUGCCUGACCUGAAUGGGGGAUGCCCCAAAGAGGAUAUCCUGGUUAUGUGAAAAGGCUGGCUAGGGAUCCAUGCUCAGGGGACCUGUGGAACACACCUCUUACAGUGUAGUGCUGCUGGACAGGCACUCUGAUUUGGUGCCUCAAGAUGAUGAGGAAGCUCACUGUCCACUUUGAUCUCACUUUUUGCAGUGUAGAAACUGUAUUACAGGUAUCUGAAACAAAGCACCUUCAAUUCUAAAUCUAUCACCGGAUUUUGUUGGAGAAUCUGCAGCCUUCCUGGCAGUGAGAAAGACAGACAUGUGCAGUGACAGGCUGUAAGACAUAUGUAACAUUGCUGAACUCUCCUAAGGGACCAACAAGCUUGCUGAAGAAGCUGCAUGUAGAUUCCACCCUCAGUACUAGUGAUGCAUCAAACCAGAGAAUUUCUGCCAGUCAAAUAAGCAUGCAAUAUGGUUUCUUUGGAAAUAAGCAUUUCCCAAUCCCCAAAUACCCCUCUGUACAGUUAAUCUAACAGGAUAGUCAGAGCUCUUAUCAUAGCAGCCAAAACUUCAGCCCAUAAGAUUAGUCAUUGUCCUAACCAAUCAUUGUACAUUGAUUAUUACCAAUGACUUCCCAUUAUAGUUUUUGGAUCUUUAGCAUAAGCACAUGCUUGCAAAAGUAAACAGUGAAAUAAUUAAUGUUGGCAAAUAUGAGAACAACAAAGUCAGCCCAAAAUCUGAUAAUCAUGUCUAACCAAGUAAUAAUGUUUUAGCAAUAAAAUUAUAGGAUUAUUCUGUUAUCUAAAAAUGUAUAAAAUAGGAAUAUGAAAAAAAUGACAACAGAAAGAUGUUUUAUUUUAAUAUUAAACAAUUCCACCACACUUCUGAAGAAUAAACCUAAGUGUUCAUGAUUGUUAAAACAAUGCAUCAAUUUUCAGGGAAAUCUUUUUGCUUGUUUAUUUACCAGACAUGUUCUAACUUUGUAUUGCCCAAAGUAUAUUAAAUACAGAUGUGUAAUAUAAAGCAUCAAUAUCACCUAACACAUCGUAUAUAAGGUAUAACAUGAUAGAUAGUUGGUCGAUUACAUUGCUAUACUGCUUAGUUUUAACUGGUUUAUUUUUAUUGUAGCAGAAGAAAAAUGAAAAAAAAAUAUGGGUUUGAUAAUCACACACAUGCAAGUACCAUUUUGUAACUCAACAAAAGAUAAAACAUUCUUCAUCAAAAGCCUUCUUGCUUGGUGUCAGGUUGUCACAUGUGACCACUCUGCAAUGCAAAGCCAUACUUCUUCAGUGCACAAAGUCAUGUUUAAACUUGGAAAAGAGGAUGCUACAGUAGUUUCAAAGUUCAGUGUUGUGGACCCAGGAAACUUUCCAUAAGUCUUGCUUGAUAACAAUGUGAUUGUACAAAAUAAAUGUUCUUAAGGGAACAACUUCUGUAACAUUUGUUACCUUUACAUAAACAUAAAUAAAUCACAUUGAAAAGGUAAAAGUUAUUUUCUUGUUUCUUUAUUAAUGCAUAAAAAUUAGGGAAAUUUUUUUUUCUAGGCUGAUAGCUUUUUCACUCAUCCAUUAAGGCAUUACCAUUGCAAUUUGACUAUGUAGCUCUGACUCAUUUUUCUUGUAAAGAGCCAUGCUAUGUAGGAUAUAUAGACAACGUCCAGGAAAGUAAAUACAUUUAAUAUUUAUAUUGAAAAAGGAUAAUCUUACUAAGAUGUAUGCUAUUUGCUUUAUUAAAAAUGCAACUUGAUAAUGUAAAUUUUGCCUACUAAAGGUAAAUAAAAUUACUUUUGCAAAACAUAACUGUAUUAUUCAACUGGAACUUGUAUGGUCAUGUAUUUUGAAAUAUGUUGAUAUCUUUAUAGAUAAUAGAAUAAAUGUAUUUUUUAUUCAUCUUUGUAAAUUGGUUCUAAAUGAGUUACAAAAUAAGAAAACUAAUAAAACUGAAGAGAGUGCCCAGCAAGCAAUUCAUAUACAUGUAUGCAUCUAUAUAUACAAAUAUUAUGUAUUCACAUGUAUAAUACCUAAGAAAAUGGUUAAAGCAGAAUCUUUAAUAAGUAGGGAAAGGAAGGUUUAUUCAAUGAUACUGAGACCACUAAUAAAUGGAAAACAUUGUUAUAUUCCUACUUCAAAUCAUAUUACAUAGAAACUUUCAGAUGAAUGAAAAGCAAAAAAUGGACUCAGAUGAAAAAACUUUUAAAUACAAGAAUAUUUUUAUGUUCUCUGAAUAAGAAAUACAUUUUAAAUCCAAAGGUAGUUCAGCCAAAAUGCCAAAGAAAAAACUUACUAACACGAGUUCCUACAUGUGUGUUCUGUGAUUUUCCUACACAGAGGUGAUCAUUUCACUAAAAACUUUAUCCUGUGGUGGAUAUAUGACAUGGUCAGCAUUCUCGCUAGUUCUGUGACAUCAUCCUUCUUGUGAAUGUUUUCAUGCAUUUAUCCAUUUUUCCAGCUUUAUCGAAUUGUUUCUUAUAAAAUCUUUGUAUUGAUGCUGUG